rnacentral:rRNA from 1 species
AGAGUUUGAUCAUGGCUCAGGAUGAACGCUAGCUGGAGGCUUAAUACAUGCAAGUCGAGCGGGAUUGGUAGCAAUACCAUGAGAGCGGCGCACGGGUGAGUAACGCGUACACGACCUACCUUUGACUGGGGGAUAGCCCUGGGAAACUGGGAUUAAUACCGCAUAUAAUUCUCGAUAAUAAAGGUUGGGAAUGAAAGUUCAGGCGGUCAGAGAUGGGUGUGCGUCUGAUUAGCCAGUUGGUGAGGUAACGGCUCACCAAGGCGAUGAUCAGUAGGGGGCGUGAGAGCGUGGACCCCCACACGGGUACUGAGACACGGACCCGACUCCUACGGGAGGCAGCAGUAAGGAAUAUUGGACAAUGGCCGCAAGGCUGAUCCAGCCAUCCAGCGUGCAGGAAGAAGGCCCUACGGGUUGUAAACUGCUUUUGUCAGGGAAUAAACCUGUGGAUUUACUCCGCAGCUGAAGGUACCUGAAGAAUAAGCACCGGCUAACUCCGUGCCAGCAGCCGCGGUAAUACGGAGGGUGCGAGCGUUAUCCGGAAUUACUGGGUUUAAAGGGUGCGUAGGCGGCUAUGUAAGUCAGGAGUGAAAGUUUGCGGCUCAACCGUAAAAUUGCUUUUGAUACUGCAUGGCUGGAAUCAGGAUGAGGUCAGCGGAAUGUGGCAUGUAGCGGUGAAAUGCAUAGAUAUGCCAUAGAACACCAAUUGCGAAGGCAGCUGGCUAGACCUGUAUUGACGCUGAGGCACGAAAGCGUGGGGAGCGAACAGGAUUAGAUACCCUAGUAGUCC